ensembl:lncRNA
UUGAUAUCAGCCAAAUAUUAUUAAAGUUAUUAAAAUGGUAAAUAAAUAGAAGCUUGUUGCAAGACAAUUGAAAAUAAUAUGGAAAUCUAUAUAGCAAUUCUUUCCAGUGGAAAUACAAUGUGAGUCACAUAUACAAUUUAAAGUUUUCUGGUAGGUGCAUGAAAGAAAGUAAAAAGAAAUUAGUGAGAUUAACUAAAAAUUUAUUUAACCCAAUAUACCCAAAUAUUGUCAGUUCAGUAUAUAACCAAAAUAAAAAUUGAGGUUUUUUUUCAUACUAAGUCUUUGUAGUUUUUUUUUUUUUUUUAAGAUUUAAUUUUUUUCCUUUUUCUCCCCAAAGCCCCCUGGUACAUAGUUGUAUAUUCUUUGUUGUGGGUCCUUCUAGUUGUGGCAUGUGGGACGCUGCCUCAGCGUGGUUUGAUGAGCAGUGCCAUGUCCGCGCCCAGGAUUCGAGCCAACGAAACACUGGGCCACCUGCAGCGGAGCGCACGAACUUAACCACUCGGCCACGGGGCCAGCCCCUAAGUCUUUGUAGUUUUACACUUACUGCACAUCUCAAUUUGGACUAGCCACAUUUCAAGUGCCUAGUAGUGGUGUGUUGCCCAUGACUGUGCUCUUGAGCAGUGUGGCUCUGAAGCAGGGAUCAGGAAACUAUGGUCUCCAGUCAAAUCUGACCCUCUGCCUGUUUUUGUAUGGCCCAGGAGAUAAGAAUGGUUUUUAUGUUUAUAAAUGGUUGAAAAAUCAAAUUAAUAAUAUGAAAAUAUAUGUCAAAAUUACAUGAAAUUCAAAUUUUAGUGUUCAUAAGUAAAAUUUUAUUGACUAGCCACAUUCCUUCCUCAGUGUCAGAGUUGAGUAGUUGCAACAGAGACCGUAUGGCCCACAAGGCUAAAAUAUUCACUUGCCUACCCUUUUACAGAAAAUGUUGGUCAACCUCUGCUAGAGUAAAAGUGAAAGUCUCCUUCACAAAUACCCAAUCCCACACCUGUCUCCAGAAGUAACCACUACUAAGGGUUUUCUGUGUGUUUUUUUAGAACUGUUUUUUUAAUAUAUGUCCAUAUAUAUAUGUACACAUAGAUUUUAUGGUUUUAUUUCUUUAUGUAGCUAGAACUUACAUUCACACUUAAAAAAUGGAAUGGUAUCAUUACAUGUGUACAGUAUUCACCCGUUAUUCAUGCGGGUUAUUUUGUAUUUCCUUCAUGGCAGAAAAUGAACAUUUUAGACCUUUGAUUCCUUGUCUAUAAAUAGGAAGAUUCUACCUAUAUAAUGGAAUUGGCAUGGAAGUUAGUAAUAAUUUAGAGCUAAUGAAAAAUUACCUGGCACAGAGCAGAUGUUCAAUCUAGAGCAGCUAUUCUGACUAUGUCCAAGACCCCCAGUGGAUGCCUGAAACCUUAGAUAGUACUGAACCCUGUGUAUACUGUUUUUCCUAUACAUAGAUAACUAUGAUAAAGCUUAAUUUAUAAAUCAGACAUUGUGAGAUUAAUAACAAUAGCUAAUAAUAAAACAAUCAUAGCAAUACACUUCAAUAAAAGUUAUGUGGAUGUGGUCUUUCUUUCAAUCCAAACCUAUUCCUGAAUCUGUAUAACCAUCCCUCACUUGUGGUAAAUGGCUUGGUGUCACUGGUUUCAGGGGAUCCCUUGCUGAAGCCUUCCUAUAGGCUCAAUGCUUUCUGGUGCAACACGUUGCUGUCAACAAGAACAUGUCUUCCGCUUACAAGUGUAAUAUCUUUUCCAUCUUAACUGAGAACGUACCUUGCACUGUGGCCUUAACUUUUGCAGUUUGAGGUGUGACAGCUAAACCAGCACAAAUUUCUUUUUCCUUCUUCACAGUAUCAUGGAUAGAAGAUUUGUUCUUACCAUAGAUCUUAGCAACCUCAGCAUACAAUUUUUUUUUCUUCAUUUAUUAAGUCGAGAACUUAAUAACCUUUUCACUUAAAGGGAGCACUUUACAACUUCUCUUUGGCAUAUCUGAAUUGCCAGCAUCACUGCUCUUGCGAUCUGGGGCCAUUGUGCCCCAACCACUGCGCCACCAACCACUGUGCCACCGGGCCGGUUCCUGGCGUGCAAUUUAAAACUUAUGAAUUGUUUGUUUCUGGAAUUUUCCAUUUAAUAUUUUUCAAUCAUGGUUACCAUGGGUAACUGAAACCACGGAAAGCAAAAUUGUGGAUAAGUAUUCUGUAUUCUGGUUUCCUUUCUUAUUUUAUAUCAAUUUCCAUAUCAGUACUUAUACAUAUGUUCCUUAUCAAUACACAUAAGUGCUUUCACAGCGGUGCAUGUAGACGUUCAUCAUUCUUUGUAAUGAUUACAUUAUAAUCCAUGAUAUGGUUUUACUAUAGGUUAUUUUAUCCGUCUCCUGUUAGUUUAAGCUCUUUCCUCUCCUCCCUUCCCUCCCCUUCUCUCUCUUUCUCUCCUCUCUAUUACAAACAGUUCUGCAGUGAACAUAUAUGCAGAUCUUUGUGUACUGGUACAAAUAUUUCUGCAGGAUAGAUUUCUAGAAGUAAAAUUGGAUCAGAAGAGGUUGACAACCCACGAUACGUCAAAGGAGAUAGCUGAGAAGUGACGUAAGCAUAGUAAUGGAUCUGGACUUGUGGAGAGAAAGAUUUAUUUCUUUGAGGACUGAGUCUUCUCACCAGCCCCUGACACCUCUCUUUCACUUAAUCUCCUUUUGUUCCAUGACAUUCUACAGCCAAAAUGUUGAAUAAUAUUAUCCUUCCUUUUGGGAAAUCAUGAAUCUUCAGGCGUCAAGGAAGUAUGUCUUUCUGUUUUCCUUUUGGAAGAAAAUCAACUGUAUAAUCCUGGAAUCAACCAAACUGAAAAGUUGCUUAUGCAAAUAAUUUGCCUUUAGACAGUUCUGCGCCAAGGUAGAAACACCUUCAAGGUUAUGUCUUGGAAAAAUCCUAGAUAAGGACUGCAAUAUUUAACAUAUUGUAUGUUACUGGAGGACAUCUCUGUAAAUAGUACAGUAGUUUGCAUAUAAGUUUGUUCUAGUAUUGUUUGGCUGCUAAACUAACAACUGCAGAAUCUGUGUCUAGAGAUGGAAUGGAUUUUAGCCCUUUUCCACAUGUACAUGAAUAUGUGCUCUAUCCACUCAGUCUCUCAUCCGGUAAGCAUUUGUGCAUUUCCCACCACAUGCCAAGCUAUAGAUACAGAGAAAGAGGACAGGCUCUGUCCUCAGUGAAGCCCCCUCCCCCCACCCGCCGUAGGAGGAGGUAGGAGGGAAGGAGAGAGAGAUAAGUAAGCCAGUAUCUACUAUUUGUUUUAAAAAGUGCUAUCGUAAUUAUUCAUGAUGUGCUAUGGAAGUACAAAGGAGGGACCCCUAACUCAACCUGAAGAGAGGAAGUGGGUUGUGGAAGAUCAGGGAAGGUGACCUGGCUGAGGUGAUAUAUGGGGUGAAUUUUACAGAUCAGGGAGUUAGAAGGUGGAAAUGGUAUUCCAGAAGAAGAGCAUGUUCAAAGGCAUAGAGGCAGUUCAAGUCAAUGAACAUUUAAUGAAUGUCUGCCAUGUGCCAACCCCAAGAAAGCAUGGAGUGUAGACGGAAUGGCGAAUGGCUAUAUAUGACUGGAGCAUAAAAUACAAAUUGGGAAUUAUUGGGAGGUAGAACUGGAAAGUUUGGCAGAAGCCAGAUCUUGAAGAACCUUGUACACCAUGCUAAAUAACUUGGACUUAAUCCAUAGAGAGCCCCAAUACUGGAUUUAUGUUUCAGAAAGUUGUACUGGCAUCAGUCUAGAGAAUGAAUUCAGGAAUACUAAUGCUGGAGGCAGGGCAUCCAAUUAGGAGACUAUUAUAAAAAUACAUGCAAGAAUGAGGGCUUAAAUUAAAGCAGCAGCCAUGGAAAUGAGGACAGAUAUGAGAGAGAUUCAAGAGGUGGAAUAGAUAUGUCUAGAAACCUAGGAGUCAUCAUAUACAAAUCUCUCUCCCUUAUCCCCUUUAGCAGUUUUAGUCCUAUUAAUAAAUUAAAGAAAUGUACAGCCCCACGUAAAAAUUCAUGCCACUAAUUUGCAUUUAAACUUGUAUUAGUCACAACCAUUUUUUUUUUAACUGUUCUUUAUUUAAGUUCCUUUUGGUGGUUGUUAGGAAGAUUGGCCCUGAGCUAACAUCUGUGCCAAUCUUCCUCUAUUUUACGUGAGAUGCUGCCACAGCAUGGCUUGACGAGCAGUGCUGUGUCUGCGCCUGGGAUCCAAAUGUGUGAACCCCGGUUGCCAAAGCAGAGCACAUGAACUUAACCACUACACAACCAGGCCAGCCCCUAUUCACAACUAUUUUUAGUUGCACAACUAUUUUAAGUUACAGGAACCUAACUUGAAGUAGCUUAUGUGAAGAGGGGCAUUUAUUUGAAUGAUACCGGGGUUGGUCUCAUCUAGCAUGCAGCUGGAUGUCAGGGACAAAUGAAACCAGAAACUCAAAUGUUACCAGGACACUCAUUUCCUGACAUCUCUCUGAAUGUUGGUGGUAUUUUUCCUACUACAGAUCAGUUUCCUCUAUGUUGCAAGAAAUGGCCAGCAACAAUUUCUGGGCUUUCCAUUCUGUGAUUCCCUCUUCAGAGAGUGACUUCUACUCUAAUCCUAAAAAGGAAUGAUUGGCUCAGCAUGGGACAAGUGCUCUCCCACUGUGGCCACUGUUCUAUGAUAGGCAGCCACCACUAGAACUAUUGAGCUCCAGAUAUGUGUGUGUUUGAGAGGGUAUGCUUAGAGAACAGCCUGCAACUGGAGGGAGGGGCAGGAGAGACAAAAUUAAACAUGGCCACCAAAACUUUGUUAUCAAAUCCAAUAGAUUUCAUCCAGUACCUUUUCUUUGACUUCUGUGCUAUAACUGAUGGUAGUGACCAUGUUUACUUUCUGGAAAACUUCUUCCUUAGCUUCUGUUACUGUUUUCCCUCUGACUUCAUGUUCAUUCUACAUUCCAAAACUGAUUCCCCUUCCUUUUCUUGCCCCUCACAGUUAAUGAUGUUCAAAACUCAGUCCAUGAUAUUCUGAUCAACAGAUCUUAAACUUUUGCUAGGUAGAUCUCAAGCUGGUUGCUGCCACCACAUUCCUAUGUCUUUACUUUUUCUGAGUAUGCAACAGGCAAGGGAAGAGUGCAGUUGGCUGUGCCACUUCUCUUCCAGUUUCCACCAGACACUUUGCCACCAGCUCAUAUCUCUGUUGAUCUCUUGGAUUAAGAGGAGUAAAGAGCCAGUCUUUUCAGAAAGACUCGAUUCCCCCACUGUACAUUCAGAAAAUCCAUUAUUCCUAUGGUUUUAGUAAUGUCUCUCUGUGAAUGACUAUUUCCUAACUAUCCUACUUCCAGGAUAUGUCUUGUGAUCUAGUCAGCCUGGUCUUAUUAUCCCAUGGACACUCCAAGCAUAGUCCUACCUCCUUGUCUUUGUUCCUGUCCUCCUCCCAACAAUCCAUGUACUAUUCAUGUAUCAAAGCCCAGCUUAAAUUCUCUCUUCCAUAAAGACUUUCCCGGCCACUCCAUCCCUUUUGGUCUCUUUCUCUCUACUGAUGCCCUAUUCCAGCUUAUAGUUUCUAUUACUUGAUUAAAUUUAUCAAUUAAAUUUUUCAUUUUUUGUUAUUUUGUAAUUUUUGAAGAGUGUUAUGUGGAAAGAGCUGGAUUCUUUUUAACUUAAUGAGAUAUAUUUGGC